GAUGAACGCUGGCGGCGUGCCUAAUACAUGCAAGUCGAGCGAACGGACGAGAAGCUUGCUUCUCUGAUGUUAGCGGCGGACGGGUGAGUAACACGUGGAUAACCUACCUAUAAGACUGGGAUAACUUCGGGAAACCGGAGCUAAUACCGGAUAAUAUUUUGAACCGCAUGGUUCAAAAGUUCAAGACGGUCUUGCUGUCACUAAUAGAUGGAUCCGCGCUGCAUUAGCUAGUUGGUAAGGUAACGGCUUACCAAGGCAACGAUGCAUAGCCGACCUGAGAGGGUGAUCGGCCACACUGGAACUGAGACACGGUCCAGACUCCUACGGGAGGCAGCAGUAGGGAAUCUUCCGCAAUGGGCGAAAGCCUGACGGAGCAACGCCGCGUGAGUGAUGAAGGUCUUCGGAUCGUAAAACUCUGUUAUUAGGGAAGAAAAUAUGUGUAAGUAACUGUGCACAUCUUGACGGUACCUAAUCAGAAAGCAACGGCUAACUACGUG
rnacentral:rRNA from 1 species